AUGAAUCGUAAAACCCGCUUCAUUUCAUGGAAUGUCCGGGGUCUUGGUAGGGCAAAGAAAUGUUCUGAUGUAAAAUCGGCUCUCUUAGAUAUUGGUCCCUCCUUUAUUUGCCUUCAAGAAACUAAACUUGAAGAUAUCUCCCCCUUCAAAGCUAGCUCGUUUCUCCCUACCAACAUGCAAUCUUUCCACUUCCUUCCCUCCACCGGCUCGGCUGGCGGGAUUCUAACCGCAUGGGAUGAUCAGCACUUCGCUUGCUCUGCGGUUACACAUCUUUCAUUCUCUUUAACCCUGCACUUUUCUGCCAGAGCAAAUCUCGACACCUCCAUUUCAAAUGUAUACGGUCCUUGCGGUAGCAAUGAUAAGCAAGCCUUUGCUACGGAGCUUCUCCAUCUUGGCUCUUUAAUAUCAGGUCUGUGGGCUCUCAUCGGGGACUUCAAUUUCACUCUAAAAGCUUCGGAGCGCUCCAAUGCAAACUUCAACGUAGCUGAAGCUCAACUCUUCUCCUCCUCCCUGAAUCAUCUAAAGCUUCAAGAGAUUCCUCUUCUACACAGAUUAUUUACUUGGUCAAAUCAGCAACAAUCGCCAAUCCUAGUCCGUUUGGACAGGGUUUUCGUCAAUAUCUACUGGAGCUUCCUGCUCCCGGACUCCUCUCUCACCUCAGCCUGCCGCUCGACCUCAGACCACGUGCCUCUCGUUUUAACGGCCCCCUCAAGAGUCCCCAUUCCCUUGGUUUUUCGGUUCAACAACGGCCUCUUGCGAUCCUCUCCCUUCAAAAACCUGAUCGCACAAAACUGGAACAGCGUUCAACCCUCAUCUCACCUUGGACACUUCUGUCUUAAACUUAAACGCGUCCGCGCGGCUGCUAAGUCUUGGGCUAAACACGCUAGGCCCUCUUUAGAUAUUUCCAAAAACUGCAAAACUGUCAUCACCUUCCUGGAUAAAAUUGAGGAACUUCGUCUUCUCUCUUCUCUCAAGCUCGCCCUUCGAACCCAAGUCUCUCUCUCUCUCUCUUCAUCGUCACAAUGCUCUCACUGCUCUUUACUAGCGUCAGCGUGCAAAAAUUAA
rnacentral:rRNA from 1 species